UCUGGUGCUCGCUAGAGCUGCUGCUGCCGCCGCCGCCGCCGCCUCCGUCGCCGCCGCCGCCGCCGCUGCCGCCGCCACUGCUGCUGCAGCCGGAGCAUCCGGGAGCCGCCGCCGCUGCUGCCACCGCUACCAAGCGCUGCUACCACUACUGCCGCCUCUUCUCCCAGGACUCUGACACCGGAGCGCGAGCGGCGGUGCUGCCAGCUUGCUGCCCCUGUCCCCCACCCCUCCCUUCCUUGACCUACCCACUCCUUGCAGCCCUCGCCUGCACCUUCCCCGACACCCCGGCAUCUCUGCAUCACCUGCCUAAGCAGCCUCCGGGCGGGCUCUGGGACUUGCCGCGAGCUCCGAAAGGAACGCGAGCUCCAAACCGGUGCCGGGCAGAUCGGUUGUCGGGGCUGCACCAGCAGCAGCAGAAGGAGAAGAAACUAUUUAGCCCACCGAAACCCCAUUCUGCGGGUGCUCUGCCACUGCCGCUUUUGCUGCCGGCAACCAGCUUCCGCGCGGGUUCGAACACCGCAGCAGCGGUAUCGUGGGUCCGGCGGGAGCCGGGAGGACGACACCAGCGGAACCCUUGCACUGUGUGGUUCGCCUAACCAGCAUCUCCUUGCCCCCUCGAUCCUUCCCCCAGACCCUUAAAAGAAGGGACCAUGAUUUGGAAACGCAGCGCGGU
rnacentral:lncRNA from 1 species